CCUACGGGUGGCUGCAGUGGGGAAUAUUGGACAAUGGGGGCAACCCUGAUCCAGCCAUGCCGCGUGUGUGAAGAAGGCCCUCGGGUUGUAAAGCACUUUCAGUGAGGAAGAACGCCUGGUGGUUAAUACCCAUCAGGAAAGACAUCACUCACAGAAGAAGCACCGGCUAACUCCGUGCCAGCAACCGCGGUAAUACGGAGGGUGCGAGCGUUAAUCGGAAUUACUGGGCGUAAAGCGCGCGUAGGUGGCUUGAUAAGCCGGUUGUGAAAGCCCCGGGCUCAACCUGGGAACGGCAUCCGGAACUGUCAAGCUAGAGUGCAGGAGAGGAAGGUAGAAUUCCCGGUGUAGCGGUGAAAUGCGUAGAGAUCGGGAGGAAUACCAGUGGCGAAGGCGGCCUUCUGGACUGACACUGACACUGAGGUGCGAAAGCGUGGGUAGCAAACAGGAUUAGAUACCCCAGUAGUC
rnacentral:rRNA from 1 species